GGAAAGGGGUCGCAGUCCCUCAGGACAGGCACACUUGGCUGCAGGAGGAGCACUGACAGCAGCAGCAGGAGGGAGAGAGGAAGGCACCGACUCUGGCCGGUCCAGGCGGGUCCUGAUGUCAUCGGACGAUGCUGCCGCUGGGUCCCUUAUCACGAGCAUGUAUGUGAACAUGCUUCUCCUCUCCCGUGUGCUCUUUACAUCAAAGUCAACACAGGUUUAGGGUCUCUUCUCAUGGCAGAAAGAGCCCACAUGUGACAGACACUUCAACUUCCAGACUGUGUCCCUGCCCUGCAGCCGCUGUCUUUGCUGCUGGUGUCAGGAAGGAACUGGACAGACGCCUAAAAUCUGAUCUUUCUGGAUCCUCCCAGACACACAAACAUCUACAGGAAGGCUGG
rnacentral:lncRNA from 1 species